rnacentral:lncRNA from 1 species
GGCCGGCUGUGCUGGCUGACGACGCGCUGCUGCCCGCUGGCGCCGAGAGCAGCUCUCCAGCCGCGACGGGCGAGGGUUGUGUGGGUGUGCGAGCUGCGAGGAAGGAGGAAGGAGGGGGCCGCGGGGGUGGGGAAGUGCCUACCUGCAGCCUCGGCAGAGGCGCCUGCUGCCCCACCCCCUCGACCCUAGCUCUUGGGGCUCCGACUCGCUCAGCAACUUAGCAGGGGGCUCCUAGACUCCCCGAGGGUGAGCGCGGAGCAGGCGCGGCCACUCCUGGGGUCCGGAGAAGUGAGGGGACGCUCCCAAAGUCUGACGUUGCAGGUCUCAGACCCUGGCAGGAAUUUGAACUCGUGUCCCCUUUGUUCUCUCUGCGGCCCUGCCCUCCUCGGCUUUCCUUCACACACGCCCUGGAAUCUCAGGCUGUCUGUCCAAGGUGUAGGAAAGAGAGGGAGAGAGGAGGGUGCAGUGCGAUCCUCAAAACUGGGAAUAAUUUGAUGAUCAGGGCUGGUUCCACGGCCGUUGGAUUUCAUUCCAAAUCAAUGUUUUAGCCCACCCGCUACCUAUUCCCAGGGCCUCCUGUGGAGUCGUUCGCGGACAAUCUUCGUUUCCUUUUUACAAAGUAGUUAAUAGUUGCUGCAUAUGAUUGAAAGCAUAAGGCAUUGUAUUUAGGAAGUAAGUGGCUCAUGCUUGUAAUCCUAGCGCUUUGGGAGGCCAAGGUAGGAGGACCGCUUGAGGCCAGGAGUUCAAAACCAGCCUAGGCAACAUAGUGAGACUUACCAAAAAAAAAAAAAAAAAAAAAAAAAAAAAAAAGUCUCUACAAAAAAAAAAAAAACUAAAAUGCUUUCCAAAAAAAAUAGAAAGUGAGUGCCCCCUCCUCCCCUACCCUGCAGUGUCCUUCCCCCACUAAUCAGUUCCCCAGAGGUAACCAGCAUUUUCGUCUAGAUACAUGUAUAUGCACACAGGGGUUCUAUUUGCCCUAUGUUUUUUAAAUCCCUACUUCUUCAGUCAUUUUUAGUAAUUUAUAUUUUCCUAGGAUAUUGUCCAUCUCAUUUACAUUUUCAAAUUUUCUGGCACAAAGUUACAAAUAGUGUCACCUUAUAUUUAUUUUCAUCUCUAAAACUGUUCUGGGCCUCCUUAUUGCUGAUAUUAUUUAUUUGUGUUUUCUACUGCUCCAUUCCCAAUUUUUUAAAUCAAGCUUGCUGGAGGAUUAUCAAUUUUAUCUUUUAAGGGCAAAAAUAUUAUUCCAUAAGUUGCCUUUAUCACUUAGUGUGUCUAUAGUAUCACUUAGAGAAAUGUACCCUCCUAGUACCCAAUAUUUAUAAUGACUGCCUACUGUUUGUGGAGUUUUUCUCUCUAAAGCAGUUUCAAGGUUUAUGUAGUCAAACACAUGUCUUAUCUUGCAUGGUUUCUAGAUUUCCCAUCUUGCCUAGGGAGGCUUCGUACCCCAGAAUCACCAUACAGUUCCCUAAAUGUUCUAGUAAUGUAUAGCUCUGUUGUUUAGAUUACCAUUUCAUCUGGAAACUGUAUUUGUGCACAGGGUAAGGUAAGGAACUGACAAAGAUGAGAACCCAAUUGUCCCAACACCAAUUCAAAAAGUCCAUUCUUCGCUCACUGAUGUGAAUGCCACCUUUAUAACACUUUAUAUUUCUCAAAACAAACUCUACUUGGUUAAUGUAUGUUAUUUUAUACAAAUACACUGCUAGAUUGCAAUAAUUUACUUAUGUUAAUAUAAGGUUUAUUCCGUCUAUAUUAAUAAGUAAAAAUUGUGUUCUUUUUCCUUUUUAGGGGAUGAGGGUUCUCAUUCAACUUUGGUGCAAGGUUAUGGUAACCUUAUAGAAUGAUUUUGGACGCAUUCUGUUUUUUCCUACACUCUGGAAUAUUUAAAUUAUCAAGUUAACUAUCAGUUCAUUGAGGGUUUAAUAGAACAUACCCAUGAAACUGUCUGGACUUGAUGGAUUUUAGAAGGAUAGAUCUUUGAUUAUCUUUUCAAAUUCAUUGAUGCUUGUUGGCAUAUUCAUCAUCUGACCCAUCUUGAGUCAAUUUUGGGUAAUUUAUAUUUACCUGGAAAAAAGUUCAUUUCAUCUACCUUUUUUAAUGUAUUGGCAUAAUGUUACAUAUUAUGCUCCUUUAUAAUUUUUCAUCUCCUUUAAAUCUAUUCCUAUAUCCCCUUUUUAUUCCUGAUGUUGUGUUCUCCCCCACUAUUUUUCAUUAAUAUUAUUUUGCUGUAGUUGAAUUAUAUGAUUUACAUCAUUUCCGUGUUGUGGUCUAUUUAUAUGACAAAUAAAAAAUACUCCACAAGCAUUUUCCCUCACACUUAAUGUAGAAAAAAAAUGUACAUUCUGUGUUUUGGGGCACAAACAAUACAAGUACACCUGUAAAGUUAAUUGUACAUUAGUACCUGUAUUAGUCCUCUCUCACACUGCUAAUAAAGACAUACGUGAGACUGGGUAAUUCAUAGAGGAAAGAAGUUUAAUGGAUUCACAGUUCCACAUGGCUGGGGAGGCCUCACAAUAAUGAUGGAAGUCAAAGGAGAAGGAAAGUCACAUCUUACAUGGUGGCAGGCAAGAGAGCUUGUGCAGGGGAACUCCCGUUUACAAAACUGUCAGAUCUCAUGAGACUUAUUCACUACCAUGAGAACAGUAUGGGGGAAACCGCCUUUGUGAUUCAAUUAUCUCCACCUGGCUCUGCCCUUGACAUGUGGGGGUUAUGGGAGCUACAAUUCAUGAGAUUUGGGUGGGACCACAGCUAAACCAUAUCAGCAACCUUUACAUCUUUACUUUGGACUACAGGCAGUAUAGUGUAUUGAUUAAGAGCACAGACUCAGGGGUCAGACUGCCUGUAUUUAAAUCCCAAUUCCAGCACUCACCAGCUGCAUAGUCUCUGAUGAGACACCAAAUGCCUUUGUGUCUCCGAUGAGACACCAAAUGCCUUUGUGUCCAUAAAAUUGGGUUAAUAUUAGUAUCUACUUUCUACAACUGGGAUGAGAGGCAGCUAAGGUAAAAUAUGUAAAAUGUUUAGCACAGUGUCUGAUAGGGAGUAAGCACCCUGUAUGUGUUAACUACGCUUAUCUGCCUGAUCUAUCAGUAUUUAAAUUAAACUGUUAAGGUCUCCUAGGAGGCUUGAAUUCAUUUUGGUUUUCAGCCAAAAUCUACUAUUGAGUCUGUGCUAUGUGACCUGAUCUGCCUUCUUUUGGAGUGCUGUAGAUUUAGAAUAAGACAGGCACGUUCUCUGCCUUUGCAAAGGAGCAUUCUAAAGACUUGUCAGCAUCUCUUUGGAGAUGUGUGUGUAUGUAUGUGUGUAAGUGAAUCAACUCACACUGUUCCAUGAAGCAAAAGGACUUUUGCAACCUAUUCCAAGUCUGCUUUCUUAUGGAUAUCUCAGCUACUUCCUCAGAGAUGCACCUUACAUGCUAGGCCUACUUGAUUAAAAACAACAACAGCAAUAGUACUUUUUUUUUAAAAAAAUUGCUAAUAAUAGUAAUAAAAGCUUUGAAUAUCUACUACUAUCAAUGCCCUCCAGCUUAAGACCACCAGGGACUCAAGUAUAGUUGAACAAAUUGGCUGUAUCACUUGUUGCAGUGAGGGAGGACACAUACCAUGGGUAAUCGUGGGGUGUCUCACUUAAGAGGGUGCUAGAAAGAAUGUGUGAUGGAAUUUGGGCUGUGGUUGAGAGAUUUGGGGGAGGGUU